AGGAAGGAAGGCAGAAAGGAAGGAAUCGCCAGCCCUGGCUCCAGUGUUGAUCCAACUGAUGGGGUGUCCAGUGUCCUGGGGGCACUGCCCAGGCUUGGUGGGGGUACCUUUUAUAGAUAAGCUUCCCCCAUCCUGGAGAUAAAUUUCUCGCUUCCUAUGCAGGGCCUACCCCCCUCCUGGGCUUAGACCGGAGGCUGGGGGGUUACCCAGACCCUGAAGGUUUUCUCUUUCAUGGACUUGCAAGGGGACACUUGCCUACCAUGGAUUUUCACCACAGGAUCACAGGGGAUAAUGGCUUAUGAGUCCACCCCUGUUUUUCUGUGAGGUCCCUCCCCACGGGAGAACAGUCCUUGAUAGACCUCUCCGACAUGGGUCUAGCAUGGAUCCCUCACUUGGAUCCCAAGCUUACCCGAGCCGUUCUCACUCCAGUGUAAGCCUUUCUCUCAGGGUCAUAAAUCUUCAGCAGCAGCAUGGAUCCCACACACGGAUCCCAACAUCCCUACCCGAGCCCUUCUUGCUCCAGCGUAGGUUCUCUCAGGGUCACAAAUUUCCAACAGCAGCAGCAUGGAUCUCUCACUGAGAUCCCAAACUUACCCGAGCCGUUCUCACUCCGGCGUAAGCCUCAUCCCUCUCGGGGUCAUAAAUCUUCAACAGGACUCUGCCUCAUUUCAGUCCUUCUCAUGAAGUCUCGGCUUCCUUGUACAUCCACAAGCUCUUCUGUGAGCCGCAUGGGGGUCUCCUCACCCCAACAAUCUUACAAAGGUAGCAAGGAUUUUAUUUUUCAGUCUUUUCCCUGCUGAAGGGAGAGAGCGAAAGGAGGGAGAAAGUCCCCCCCCCGCCCUUCCGACUUUUCUUCUCUCUCCUCCGGCUGCCAGCUUUGACCUUGGAGGUCCCUUAUCUUUCUGCCGGAAUUCUUCUGCAGCGAUUUUUCGUCUAAGCAGUCAGUCCUCUAAAGUUUUUUUUCUGUACUCUCUUACAGGAGAGAAGGCGGGGCUUCAGUGCUACACCUGCCCCCGGCCCAGGCCGGGGGAGGAGGGGGCCUCGGCCCACUCGAGGCCUGCCUCCUCUCCUACAUGGCUACUGCUACUAAUUUCAACUGCGUAACCACCUUCUCUUCCGUUUUCUUAAAUAUGUAAUUAGCAAAGGCGUCACUAAGAGUUUUGAUUGACCUUUUUCUCCGGAAAUCCAUCUGGACAAAACCAUCCUCAGCCCCAGGCACUAGCUGGUGAGCAAAACCACGACAGAGACUAAUCUCAAAAGUCAAAUUAAUGUCAUUUGAACUCAGUGUGGACCAAUUCCUUUUGGUCUAUUGAACUUUUAUCUUUGGUGGGAGGAGCAUGUUGCCUUUCAGGUCAUAUAGACGUUAAGUUUCUUUGCCUAUGAUCAAGCAUAGGGUGUAAAACAGCACUGUCCAAUAGUACAGUGACCUAAAGAGAGUAGGACUUUAUCAGACCUUCAGGAAGUAAGUGUAACAGAAAGCCAUUAUUGACAUCUCUUGGCUCAAGGAUUGUUGGAGUCAUGUAUUCACCCUUCAAAAGUGGUAGCUACCCUUGUAAGCUAUUAGUUUUCUGGGCCUCGUUCUGUGAGGUCAAGAAGAAGCUGUUGUUUCUCAAGAGUAUUGAUGGUUGUGCCAUCAGUCACUGCUUUCACAUAAGACACUUUGGAUUCUCUUCUUCUAACAGCAUAACCUUAGUAGAGCUGAGUGUGAGCCAGCUGUAUGAAUAACCCUGAAUUAUUCUUAAAUUAUCAGAUUACAGAGGUGAUAAUUUACUACCUGUGUGGGUGUUGUGGUUUAGGUCAGGACAGACUAAAUGAACGCAUUCAUUUCUACUCAGCAGUUGGUUUCGUGUGAUGGAGUUGAGAUAUUUAUUGCCUCUGAGAAAGAAUGACCAAUGCAAAGAACACUUCAGAGCUACAGCAAAGUUGUUAUUUCUACUUCCCCUUUCCUUGCUGACAGGAGCAGCAAUUGUCAGUAGAUGGAAAGAGCAGAGUGCUGAGCAUGCUGGUUGUGCCACAUGAGCUUGGUCCCAAGGCCUCCACAGUCUGGCAUCCCUGAAACUGCAACCUCCACAGCACUAUUUUUACAUUUCUGGGAUUUUGUUUUGUGUGCAAAUGCAUAUGCUUUAUUAAAUUCUUACUGCCACUGUUAGGGUCAUUAACAAAGACUUUUUAUUAGGUCAGAUCUCUUCUACCAUUGUAUACUCUUGUUGUCAUAGUACAUUUGGCAGAUUAUAAAGAUAGGGGGCUGAAACCCUUAUCCUGCAAAUACUUAUUUCUGUGAAUAGUCCCUGUGAUUUAAUUUUGAGUUUUACUGCAAUCAAGCAUUCAGAGGAUCAGCUUCUUUGCUACAUGGAUUGGUUAUCCUGAAGUUUUCAGUGAGGCAUUUGGAAAUAAUAUAUAUGAGAUUAUAUAUGAGAUGUCCUCGUUUUUUAACAACUACCACUGCAUAUAAGUGAGGUGCUAGUAUGUGGUUGUGUUGAGGGCGUUGGCUGUAGUUCGUUUGUAAGAGACAAUGGGUGCCAAUGCACUCGAUAAUUCUUUCACUUCCAAAUUUUUCACUCUCCAGGUCUGUAGGAAUAAGUGUUCAGUCAUGGGGAAGUCCCGAGCUUCAGAUGAAGUUUCAUUUUAGAGCCUUUUGGCUUUAGCAUAGUUUGUUCAAAGGCUUGUAUUCAUUUAAGAGCAUUGCACUGUGGCUGUGAAACAAAGAAUACUAUGAAAUUCUGCAAGCGAUACUGCAUCUAAUUAUGUAAGUAUUAAGAAACCACAUAAAAAUCUCUCAGUCGCUUCUGCUUUUUUCUUAGCAGGAACGUCCUAUUACUUAGAAUGUCUUUUUUUUUCUCUAUUUGAUUAAGGCUAAAUUAACCAUGACACCAGUUUUUAUGAGCCAAAUACUGUUACUGGAGUGUCUAAAUCUGCAGAGAAAAAGCCCAUAAAUAAACUUCCCAGAUAGAUAUCUGUAGCCCUUCCCUUGUUCACUGAUGGAGCCACUCCAUCCUAGAAGGCCACUAGGUUGGUCAGGCAGGACUUGCCCUUGGUGAAGCUGUGCUGGCUGUCCCGAAUCACCUCCCUGUCCUCCAUGUGCCUUAGCAUAGCUUCUAGGAGGAUCUGUUCCAUGGACCUUCCCAAGGCACAGAGGUGAGGCUGACGGGUCACUAGUUCCCAGGGUCCUCCUUUCUACCCUUUUUAAAGAUGGGGACAAUGUUUCCCUUUUUCGAAUCACCUGGGAUUUGAUCUGACUGCCAGGACUUUUCAAAUAUCGUGGAGAGUGACUGCAUCGACCAAAUUCCCUCAGGACUCUGGGAUGCAUCUCAUCGGGUCCCAUAGACUUGUGCACAUUCAGCUUCCUCAGGUGGUCAUGAACAUGAUCUUCACUUAGAGUGGGAAGCAGUCUGCUCCCCAGUCCCCAUCAUGCAGUCCAUCCACUCAAGAGGGGUGGGAAGAGAGGUUUGCCAUUGAAGGCUGUGGCAAAAAAGUUGUUAAGUACCUCAGCCUUCUCCUUGACCAUAGUUACCAGUUUACCAGCAAUGUUUAUCAAUGGGGGUACACCUUCUUUCACUUUCAUUUUCUGGUUAACACACCUGUAGAAGCCCUUCCCGUUAUUCUUUGCAUCCCUUGCCAAGUUCAGUUCCAGCUUCAUCUUGACCUUCCUGAUCCCAUCUCUUCACAACUGUCAUGUGAAAAGGGGAGAUUUCCUCAACCCUUAGUGUUUGAGUUGUCUGUCAGCGCCCCAGGAAAACCAAGAUCCUUGCGCCCGACCAGUCUGUCAGCAUCCCGUUACGGGGACCCUUCCCUGAACAGUUCACUAGGUCGGAGGGCUGUUCAACUGACUUGUUCAGGGGCACGUGCCAACAGAGAGACCCCCCUCCUGGGUCUCCACACCUUUAUUUGAGUAUGUUACCCACUGCCGGUGACUGCUAGCACCCUUGAAAGACUCACAUUAACACUUUACUGAAUAACACUCUUUAUAUUAAUAAAAUUGUGACAGGUUAAGGUUCGAGGGUUGCCGUUGACAGUAUCUGACUGCAAAAAUGUAUUCAAAGCAACAUACUAACGAGCUCUAAUUCCCAAGGAAAGCUGGCUCAAGAGAAUCAUUCAGCACGCACAGAAUACGGUUCUUACCCAGUGGGCCCAUACGGGGGAGAGGCAGGUUCAGCCCGUCAGCCGAAGUUACGAUGGAGUCUUCCCCGACUUGUCCCCGUUCUUAACUCACUUUUAUGCUAUUUAUUUAUGUUUAGGUGAAGCUUGAGUGACUUUAGUCAUACAUCUUACUCAGUGAGGGGUGGUCGUACCUUGGGGGCAGAUAUCUCAGUAUAGUACCUGAGAUAACCUUGGGCUGGGGACAUGUCAGUCCAAGGAGAGGGAUUUCACCACAGUUGCUGAUUCGCCAGCAAGACGUCUACCUUUAUCUCCCUUGGUUUUCAGCUGCUGUGCAGAUUAUCAGCUAAAAAGGACCACUGAGUUCCCUCCUCUGCAAGGGUUUUGACAGAGUCUGGCUGCAGGGUCUUCACUCCGCUCCACCCUCCGUUUAGUCCCCCUUAGACUGUGUGUGGGAGGUCAGGUAUGCUGACCACGUUCCAUUCAGGGAGUAGCAACUGCCUUUCCCCCUAUAGUUUCCGUACUGUUAUAACUGUGUCGAUGACUUUCCACUUUUCUUUAAUUUUAAUCCCAGUCUUCUUCCCACAGCAACUGUACUUCAUCUCUAUACUCUUCCCAGGUCACCUGUCCCUGCUUCCACUGCCUGUGCAUUUGCUCCUUUCUCUUCAGUUUGACCGGCAGGUCCCUACUCAGCCAUGCCAGUCUCUUGCCUUCUGUGAUGGUUCGGACUUGGCUCCCUGCCAAAUGCCCAAACCCCAGUAGCAGCCUCCCCCCCUUCCCCCUUCCUUCUUUCCCCAGAGCAAAGGAAAAAAAUAUGUAAAUUGAAGAACCCGAAAAUCCAGCUAGUUAUAUAAAAAAUAUAUAUAUUUGAUGCAUAUUACAGUUAAGAUGCUAUGUACACAGCAAAAAGGAAUUCAAACACCCCCCGAAGGGAUAGGGAAAGGGGAAAAGGAACAAAAGGAGACAAAGAAGGGACACCGAGCAGAUAUCCGCAAUCAAACCUGAGGACUAGUAAAAUAACUAGUAAAACAAAUCUCACCACGUUCCUUAGAAAAGCAGGAUUAGCACACACGGCCAGCACUCUGCUAUCCUCCACGUGGCAGGCCAGCGGUCGCUGCAGGCCUCAGCCUUAGAUAAGCGAGACCAACGCAAGGACCCACUGUUCCCGUACCCCGCUGGAAGAGAAGAGAGUGAAGGCCUCUCUUCCCUUCUUAUUUAUACCCCGAUUUACGUAAAAAUCGUAUGGAAUACUGGGAACACUGCCUCUUCCUUGGUUACAAACUGGUAACCAAGGAAGGCCUAGAUUAAAACCACCACACCUUCCUUGCCUGAUUUCUUGCUCCCGGGGAUCACUAGCUCUCGUGCUCUGUUCUGUUCCCUUGUCCCCAAGGGCAGUCUCCCAGGGGAUCCCACUAUCUCCCUGAAGAGCUGGAAGUUUGCUUUUCUAAAGUCCAGGGUCCUGACUUUACUCUUCACCUCACCCAUAUCCCUCAGUACUGUGAACUCCACCAACGCAUGAUCACUGCAGCCCAGGCUGAUGUCUCCGAUUAGCUCACUGACGUUGGUGACAAUCAGAUCCACUCUCUCAUCCCCUCUGGUAGGGUUGUCUAUGGUCCAUGCAAUUAUUUUUAAAGCCUUAAUUUAUUAGAAAACGUUUCAUCUUUUUUAAAGCUGACUCGUUUCACAUGGGGAUUAGCUUUCAGAAAUGCUGUCCCCUCAGCUGCCAGUGACUUUGAAUGUAAAGCUAGGUGCUUGACACUUUUGCAAAUGAGACCCUAAAUGAUUUGUAUUAAUUAUUAGGAUCAGAUGAAUCAUCUGUGCAGUUAAGACACUGUCCUUUCAGUAAUAUUCUCUUAUUCAUGAGAAUUCAGAGAAUUCAUAUUGAAGGGAUGACAAUUUCUGAUGAGUAUCAGAUGCCAAGUACACCAAGUCUCCAUUUCCUAAGAUUUGCUCCACUGAUUUGAAAAUUACAUAUUGACUCAAGUGUUCUCCUUUGGUUUUGCUUUGAAGCUAUUUCCACACUAAACUCUCAGUGCUGGUUUUGACGUAAAACCCCCCAGUCUCUUCAAUUGUUCAAAUGCAGGGAGCAUUAAAACAUCUCUGCAAAUAGAUAUAACAGAUGGACGAUGGGAUUUUUCAGCUGCAGUGUGUGUCCUGACUUUUCAGGAUGGCUCUGUAGCUUGAAAUCCUGGUCACUCUGGAGAACCUCAGUUCACUUUUCAGUAUUAAUACGAAACCUUGGUUGUUCAUGUGGGUGUCUAAGUAUGGGCGCUGAAAGAAAUGAGGCUGCCACCACACAGAGUUUGAUUUCGGGAUUUGUCCGCUGAUCUUUCUGGCGUUCCCCUUUUAUUAGGGUUCCUUUGUAAACAGCACCUGGUGUUUGUCUUUUAGUUAACUGGAAUUCCCAGGAUCAUCCUAAACCAGUGCCUUGAUCCCACACAUUCACACUCGUAUCAUGUUUGACUGUUUUCAGCCACGGGAAAAGCAUGCAGACCAUGCAGACCAUUAAGUGCUUUGAGAACACAGUACUCUCUUUAUCAAAAACACCAGUCAAGGCCAAAACACUCCUUUCUGAUCCUGAUUAACUGAAUGUAGGUGCUGCUGGCUUAACUGGUCCCCACACUAAGUUGGAAGCACUCAAUUAUUUUGAAAGUCCAUUCCCCACCCCGACCCCCAUUUCCAUAUUGUACUUAAUUGAUCUUUUCUCAUAGUGGUGGUUACAGAGUUUUCACACCUUGCCUUUUUAGGAUAGGGAGGACAAUUUCAGAAAUAUCUACUUUUCUAAAGGGAAAUCUUUUGGUGCUUCAGGAUAUUUUUUCCUCCCCUGAGGGGCAGCAGGGAAGAUCAUUAUAAAGGUCCCUUCUUGCCCUGAUGCUCAUCAGUGUGCAGAUAAUUUUGUUCUCUCACAGAGUCCGUGACGUAUGCUGACGGUGGAGCUCUAGAGAAGCGUUUUCCAUGUGAGUUCUGUGGCCGAUCAUUUACAGAGGGCUCUGAGUGGGAACGACAUGUGCUGAGGCAUGGCAUCAAACACAGGGAUACGACAGAUUAUUCUAACAAGGGAAGAGUUCUGUCUAACACAAACACCGUUGGAUGCAGUUAUGAGAUGUAAUUACUCAACUAGAUGCUUCUGUCCAUCCUGUUUGACCCAGGAACCCAGAAAUCCAAGGGCUCUGAAUGAAAGUAAGCAAGGGACCAGAGAGGACAGCAAACUGAAGGAGAACACAGAAAAGACUGUUAAUACACUGACAGUAGAAGAAAAGGAAAACACUGAGCAAAUGUUGGUGGACUUGACCCACAACAGUGAAACUAAAGUCAGUGUUGUAGUUGCUAACAAAUCUCGCCAAGAGACCUCAGAGGCCAAAAAUGAAUAGAAAUUGGGUGUGAUUUUAAUCAACUGACUUGAACUGUGGUGAAUGGAAAGGGAUGGGCCGGUGGGGUGGGCAGAAGGAAGAAACAAAGCUGCUUUUAGGAAUGAAUGAUCUAUUUUCAAAGCACUGGUACCUAUGUGAGUGUGUGUAUAUUAAAGCUAUUUAAAUGUUGGAAUAAGUGGUUCCAUUAUAUUACUGCAUCUUCUGGAUCUAAACAAUGGGAAAUUACAUUCAUAUUGGAUUAAUGAAACAACUCCCUGUGUCUCUAUGUUACACAAUGCGCUUUGCAGCAGAGACUUGUAUUGUUUGCAAACAGAAGCAUAAUGAACAUGGUUUGGAGGUGAUGUAACUUUUCAACAUGCAACUUUUGCUGCAUUUUUUAAAAUUUCAAUCCAUUAUGAUUUUCCAGACUGAAUGCACCUGCUUUAGAAAACAAAAACAAGACAGAAACUGCUUUGCUUAAAACAACCACCCGUUUCCUGAUACCUCAAAAUUAACAAAGGGACAUCUGCAUUUGUUAGUACUGCCUCUUUUCAUUAUAAUUGGAGAGACUGCUAAGCAAGGUGGUGAAAGGAGGAAGAAACAAAAGUUUUAAAGAAAGGAAAACAAAUAGUGCUUAAAAUCCCACUGUGGAUUUAAUUUCUUAAAAUGCUGUGAUUUUUAAAAAUUAUUUUAGUAAAUAAAUAAAUAAAAAAAAAAACUAAAAAGACGGAAUCUUUAAUUUCUAGAUAAUGCUUUGGGAAUUGCCAUCCUUUAUUCCAGGUAAGCUGUUUGUUAGUAUUCAGCUAUAAUUUUAGU